rnacentral:rRNA from 1 species
UUCCGGUUGAUCCUGCCGGACCUUACUGCUAUCGGGGUGGGACUAAGACAUGCGAGUCGAGCGUCUCUAGCUAUGUUGAGACGCGGCAGACGGCUCAGUAACACGUGGCUAACCUACCCUCAGGACGAGGACAAACCCGGGAAACUGGGGCUAAUACUCGAUAGGUGAGAAUGUCUGGAAUGAUUUCUCACUCAAAGGACCUUGGAAACAUGCUUCCAUUGUCGCCUGGGGAUGGGGCCGCGUCCGAUCAGGUUGUUGGUGAGGUAAUGGCUCACCAAGCCUAUAACCGGUACGGGCCGUGAGAGCGGUAGCCCGGAGAUGGGUACUGAGACAAGGACCCAGGCCCUACGGGGCGCAGCAGUCGCGAAAACUCCGCAAUGCACGAAAGUGUGACGGGGCUACCCCGAGUGCCAUCCGCUGAGGGUGGCUUUUCCUUGGUAUAACUAGCCGAGGGAAUAAGGAGAGGGCAAGACUGGUGUCAGCCGCCGCGGUAAUACCAGCUCUCCGAGUGGUAGGGAUGAUUAUUGGGCUUAAAGCGUCCGUAGCCGGCUUAGCAAGUCUCCUGUUAAAUUCAGCGACCUAAUCGUUGAGCCGCGGGAGAUACUACUAGGCUAGGAGGCGGGAGAGGUCGACGGUACUUCUGGGGUAGGGGUGAAAUCCUAUAAUCCCGGGAGGACCACCAGUGGCGAAGGCUGUCGACUAGAACGCGCUCGACGGUGAGGGACGAAAGCUGGGGGAGCGAACCGGAUUAGAUACCCGGGUAGUCCCAGCCGUAAACGAUGCGGGCUAGGUGUUGGGGUGGCUACGUGCCACUUCAGUGCCGCAGGGAAGCCAUUAAGCCCGCCGCCUGGGGAGUACGGCCGCAAGGCUGAAACUUAAAGGAAUUGGCGGGGGAGCACCACAAGGCGUGAAGCUUGCGGUUCAAUUGGAAUCAACGCCGGAA